rnacentral:rRNA from 1 species
GACGAACCGUGCGAACGUUAUUCGGAAUCAUUGGGCUUAAAGCGCGUGUAGGCGGGUCCGUGCGUCUGUCGCUGAAAUCCCCCGGCUCAACCGGGGAACGGGCGCGGAUACGACGGGCCUGGAGGGGCAUAGGGGGGACCUGGAACUUCCGGUGGAGCGGUGAAAUGCGUUGAGAUCGGAAGGAACGCCCGUGGCGAAAGCGAGGUCCUGGAUGCCUACUGACGCUGAGACGCGAAAGCCAGGGGAGCGAACGGG